ACGAUUAAUGAAAUUAUAGGUGUUUUUAAAACUUAAUAAGGAAAUCGGUUAAAAUCCGGUACAGCCCCCACUACUGUGAAACAGACGAAAGUACAAAAAACCACUGAAACAUUGUGUAUGUUUUGGGAAGGGUACGAGUAGGAUGAAGUUAGUCAGGAGAAUUGCCUAAUAAUUUUUAUAUGAG
rnacentral:ncRNA from 22 species